rnacentral:rRNA from 1 species
UACGGAGGGUGCAAGCGUUAUCCGGAUUCACUGGGUUUAAAGGGUGCGUAGGUGGAUUGGAAAGUCAGUGGUGAAAUCUCCGGGCUUAACUCGGAAACUGCCAUUGAUACUAUCAAUCUUGAAUACCGUGGAGGUCAGCGGAAUAUGUCAUGUAGCGGUGAAAUGCAUAGAUAUGACAUAGAACACCAAUUGCGAAGGCAGCUCACUACACAAAUAUUGACGCUGAGGCACGAAAGCGUGGGGAUCAAACAGG